AUACCCUGGUUGCUUUUUCGAUCGAAUAAAUCUUUUGCCUUUUACUAAAGAUUUCUAUGGAGAGGAACCACUCUGAGUUUUUGAUCAAUUUUUUGAGGCCUUGCUUUGGCAAGGCU
ensembl:snRNA U5 U5 spliceosomal RNA